GAACCCACCAUGCACAGGGAGAACAUGCAAACUCCAUGCAGAAAGACCCCCGGCCGGGAAUCGAACCCAGGACCUUCUUGCUGCAAGGCAACAGCUCUACCAACUGCGCCACUGUGCAGCCCAAGAUCUUCUCUCUCUGAUAAGUUGCAUACAAGCACACGCCCCCCGGCUGAAGAACUGCUCUCAACCCUUCCUGGGAAGCAUCACCAUGCAGAAUAAAUGCAUGUUGGGUGAGAUCUGGAUACCCAAGGAUGGGAGGCUCAUGUUGACGUUCCACCUGUCCUUUUGCUUUCCCGAUGGUGGAUUUUCAGGUGGACUGACCAGAAGCUAGUAG